AUGGGGUGCCGCGAGCGUCCGCAGCUGCAGGUGCCCAGAGUUACCUUCGGCUGCGCCACCACCUUCCACUUCGCUGGAAACGGCAUCGUCGGCCUCGCCGACGCGGAAUCUUCCCUCAUCAACCAGAUCGGCGACGCGACGUCGCUCGGCCAGAGGUUCUCCUACUGCCUGGCGCCCUUCUUCAGCGACGUGUCCUCCGCACUCAACUUCGGCGCCCGCGCCACCGUGACAGAGCCGGGCGCGGUCACCACGCCGAUGGUACAGCACUCCUCCGCCGUGGGGGCCUACUACACCGUCCUGAUCGUGUCCCUCAGGGUUGGGAACACCGAACACGAUCAUCAAGCUGCCGGACCGGUCCCCCGUCAUCGUCGACUCCGGACGGUGCUGACGUACCUCGACAAGGAGCUGCUGGACCCCAUCGUGGAGGCGCUCUCCCGGAGCAUCAAGCUCCCGCGCAAGCAGUCGCCGAAGCCGAAGUUGUUUUCGCUGUGCUACGAGGCGGGCGGCCUGGAGGUGCUGGACAAGGUGUUCCCAGACGUUACGCUGGAGCUGGGCGGGGGCGCCUCGGUCACGCUCAAGGCAGAGAACGUGUUCGUGGACCUUCUGCUGCGGACCGUGUGCUUGGCCAUGGCGCCGGUGACGCAUGAGCGGCCGGUGGUGGCGAUCGGCAACAUCAUGCAGCAGAACAUGCACGUCGGCUACGACCUCGACCAGCACAACAUAACCUUCGCCCCUGCCGACUGCACCAGAUCUUACCCCUCCCCUCCCGCCUUUGUGUCACCACGUUAG
rnacentral:rRNA from 1 species